ACGAAACUCUGGAGAGCCUCAAAAAGAGCACCGAAGGAGCAAGCUGUUUUCAUCAGAAAACGGUGAAUCUCUCAGGUAAAAGGACAGAGCC
rnacentral:ncRNA from 1 species